CAGACUUGGCCCUGUCAAGGCUGGUUUCACGUGUCUUCUCUCUCUCACCGACGCCAUUCAUCCUGAGGGUACCCCCUGGAUCAUGCUGAGGCUGAACCCCGGCAGAGAGGCUGAUCUCUGUAGAAGUAGAGAUCAGGCAUGACCUCCCAUGGGUGUUCACAGAAGAUGGUACCACAUAUGUGCGGAACUUCCCAGGUGAGCAUCUACCACAGCAGACCUACUGAGUGAGCUCCCUUUUUGCACAGAAUGGCAGUGUCUACAGAAUGCAGAAGAGAGUCUCUGUUACACAGAGCAAUGGUGAGUUCUGUACCAGGAGCGCCACCUGGGAAGCCACCUGGGAACUUCCACUUUCAGCAAUGAUAGGCAGCUUAACAUAAGAGGCCUCUGUAGAAGCUGGUGGUCAGCCCUGGGGUCAGUAACCACCAGAAGUCU